CAAACAAAUCUGCACCCUCACUUUGAAGCUUUGAAAAGCAUUGUAACUUUCACUUUAAGAAUACAUCAUACACUUGCUCACGAAGAAACCGAGGAGAGAGGGCUAGCGCAAAUUGUGUCACCGGCAACUCGCUGAGGCACUUCCUGUUGCAGGUUGCGGUGCCGCGGCGAAUCGUGGCAGCUGCCUCGAGUUUACGGCAACUGCCUCGCCUGUUGCCUCGGCUGAGUGAGGGGCCGGUUCAUCGGUCGAGAGAGGUACCUCUAGCGGUACCUCGAGUUACGGGAGUCUUGCCACGACCUAACGGAGGCAUGCAACGACCAAAGGGAGCGGUGCAUCGGCUGAUAGAGGUACCGGGAGUUUAAGGGAGAGGUGCCACGGCUGUUAAGGGAGCUGUGCCUCGGCUGAUAGACGUACCGGGAGUUUAAGGGAGAGGUGCCACGGCUGUUAAGGGAGCUGUGCCUCGGCUGAUAGACGUACCGGGAGUUUAAGGGAGAGGUGCCACGGCUGUUAAGGGAGAGGUGCCACGGCUGUUAAGGGAGCUGUGCCUCGGCUGAUAGACGUACCG
ensembl:lncRNA